AUUUUGCAAUAAGAGGUAAUAUAUGCAAUUUUUAACUACGAAUUACUCGUAAUCAAAGAUUCAAAGGACAGACAAGAGAGUUUUAGCCAACUUAAUGAAAGUUGGCUAAUUACACUGAACCCUUUUUGACAAGACUAGGUGUUUGAUCUUUCGGAUAUAGGAUGAGACUAGUAGUGUUGAUAAUUAGACGCGGCAAUUCCUACAGAUCAGUGGAAGACUCCCUCCUUCUCUCUUAUUCUUCCAAUUCCUACAGAUCGGAAACCCUUCCUUCUCUCUUUCUCUUUCAAUUCUUAAAGAACAGAACCCAUGCGAAGUCGUAAGCUGCCAUUCGAACCCAUCUGAAAACCCUUUGAAGUCGUAAGUUGUCGGACAUGGAAUAAGAACAAAGCCCCUUUAAAGCUCAUUAUUUUGCAAAUCGUAAGGUCAGGCUCAUUAUUUUUUUUAAUUAGAGUUGUUUAUUGGAUUGUGGCUUAUAGCCUUGUAUCUGUGUUGUUUUUUUUUUUGCAUUUUGGGUGUCUGCUAUGAAGCAAGUUAAC
rnacentral:lncRNA from 1 species